rnacentral:rRNA from 1 species
GACGAACGCUGGCGGCGUGCUUAACACAUGCAAGUCGAACGGAGCGAAUGAAAGCUUGCUUUUAUAAGCUUAGUGGCAAACGGGUGAGUAACACGUAGACAACCUGCCGACAGGAUGGGGACAACAUUCCGAAAGGAAUGCUAAUACCGAAUGAAGUGCAGGGGAGGCAUCUCCCCUGCAUGAAAGAUGGCCUCUUUUUAUGCUAUCACCUGUUGAUGGGUCUGCGUCUGAUUAGCUGGUAGGUGAGGUAACGGCUCACCUAGGCGACGAUCAGUAGCCGGUCUGAGAGGAUGAACGGCCACAUUGGGACUGAGACACGGCCCAGACUCCUACGGGAGGCAGCAGUGGGGAAUCUUCCGCAAUGGGCGCAAGCCUGACGGAGCAACGCCGCGUGAGUGAAGAAGGUCUUCGGAUCGUAAAGCUCUGUUGAUGGGGACGAACGUGCCUAAUGCGAAUAGUUUUAGG